UGCCUUUCAGAAGAAGAGGCGGACCUGACCUAUACAGGCCUCUGCUAUGGGGAUGAUGGCCAGUCCUGGUGUCUGAGUGAUU
rnacentral:snoRNA from 7 species